GAGCACUGGCAAGUAACCCAUUGGGCUUCUCCCUGACCAACUGGGCAUCGACCAGUGCAAGAGCAAAUCCCUCCACAAAGCUGGGAGAGUCAUUCUGUGGGCUACUCCUGCAUGCUGGUGGGUACAUAU
rnacentral:snoRNA from 1 species